rnacentral:rRNA from 1 species
UACGGAGGGGGCUAGCGUUGCUCGGAAUUACUGGGCGUAAAGCGUACGUAGGCGGCUUUGUACGUUAGAGGUGAAAGCCCGGGGCUCAACCCCGGAAUUGCCUUUAAGACUGCAUCGCUUGAACGUCGGAGAGGUGAGUGGAAUUCCGAGUGUAGAGGUGAAAUUCGUAGAUAUUCGGAAGAACACCAGUGGCGAAGGCAGCAGAUUGGGUCGGUACUGACGCUCAGGCACGAAAGCAUGGGGAUCAAACAGG